rnacentral:rRNA from 1 species
UCUGGGUCGCAUGGCUAUUCGCCGUGGCUGGUUUCACACAUCGAGUGUCAGUGUUAUUGCGCUGUCGUUCGUGGUGUUAUCGGUCCGGUGGUUUGGUCGUGUAACCUUUCUGCCGUGUCUGUGCUUUGUUUNACAAGCGCAGGUGUUGNCCGGCCGUGCAUCGACAAANGCAUGGUUAGCCGGCAUGCUUUCGGGUGUCCUUUGUUGGUUGCUCGUAGCGGGCGGCAAGUUUACUUUGAACAAAUUUGAGUGCUCNAAGCAGGCCGUAGAGCCUGAAAAGUCUUGCAUGGAAUANUGAAAUAGGACUUCGGUUCUAUUUUGUUGGUUUUCGGAUCCGAAGUAAU